rnacentral:rRNA from 1 species
GAAUUUUGGACAAUGGGGGCAACCCUGAUCCAGCCAUGCCGCGUGAGUGAAGAAGGCCUUCGGGUUGUAAAGCUCUUUCGGCCGGGAAGAAAUCGCAUAGGUUAAUACCCGGUGUGGAUGACGGUACCGGAAUAAGAAGCACCGGCUAAAUACGUGCCAGCAGCCGCGGUAAUACGUAGGGUGCGAGCGUUAAUCGGAAUUACUGGGCGUAAAGCGUGCGCAGGCGGUUUUGUAAGACAGAGGUGAAAUCCCCGGGCUCAACCUGGGAACUGCCUUUGUGACUGCGAAGCUAGAGUACGGCAGAGGGGGGUGGAAUUCCACGUGUAGCAGUGAAAUGCGUAGAGAUGUGGAGGAACACCGAUGGCGAAGGCAGCCCCCUGGGCCGAUACUGACGCUCAUGCACGAAAGCGUGGGUAGCAAACAGGAUUAGAUACCCUGGUAGUCCACGCCCUAAACGAUGUCAACUAGGUGUUGGGUGGGUAAAACCAUUUAGUACCGUAGCUAACGCGUGAAGUUGACCGCCUGGGGAGUACGGCCGCAAGGUUA